GCAUGUCGUUCGUGAUCGUACCAUCGUAAAGGAGGCUCGUACGACAAGAAGCAAUGGAAAUUGGAAGUAGCAGCAGCAGCUAUAUCAUCAGAAGCGGCAAAUAUCAAUUGUUAAAUUUUAUCACUAUUUAAUUAAUCUUUGCUUUCAGAGAAAAUUAAUUUUUAUUUAAUAUAUUUUAUUCUGUCAGAUAAUAUUAUUUUUUUUUUACAGAUAUUAUUAUCAUUUUAUAAAAUUAAUCUUUCUUUUUCUUUUAGAUAUUACAAAUUCAAUGUAAUUAUUAUUUAUUUUCAGGUGUUAAUAAUAUUUAUUUUAUUUUCAGGUAUUUGUCUUUAAUAAUAUUUGUCCACUCUUUUAUUUUCAGGUAUUAAUAAUCUUUAUUUUAUUUUCAGGUAUUUGUGUUUUAUAAUAUUUUUCCACUC